rnacentral:rRNA from 1 species
UACGUAGGUGACAAGCGUUGUCCGGAUUUACUGGGCGUAAAGAGCGCGCAGGCGGUCGAUCAAGUCGAGUGUGAAAGCCCCCGGCUCAACUGGGGAGGGUCAUUCGAUACUGAUCGACUCGAAGGCAGGAGAGGGUAGUGGAAUUCCCGGUGUAGUGGUGAAAUGCGUAGAUAUCAGGAAGAACACCAAUGGCGAAAGCAGCUCUCUGGGACGGUACUGACGCUGAGACGCGAAAGCGUGGGGAGCGAACAGG